UGUCAGAAACUGAACAACUGC
rnacentral:misc_RNA from 1 species